rnacentral:lncRNA from 1 species
CCAUGUCCCACUGGGGUUCCCAUGUCCCAUUGGGGUCCUCCAUUUCCCGUUGGGGUCUACAUGUCUCACUGGAGUCCCCAUUCCCAUUGGAGUCCUCCAUGUCCCUUUGGGGUCCCCAUGUCCCACUGGGGUUCCCAUGUCCCAUUGGGUUCCUCCAUGUCCCAUUGGGUUCCUCCAUGUCCCAUUGGGGUUCCCAUGUCCCAUUGGGUUCCUCCAUGUCCCAUUGGGUUCCUCCAUGUCCCACUGGGGUCCCCAUGUUCCAUUGUGACAUUGGGGACAAUGGGGACAUUGGGGUCAAUGAGGACAAUGAGGUCAUAGGGAACACUGGGGACAAUGGGGACAUUGGGAACAAUGGGGUCACUAGGGUCAGUGGGAUCAAUGAGGACACCGGGGUCAAUGAGGACAUUGGGACCGCAGCGAACGACAGCCGCCCCUCAGUUGGCUUCAUUUCUUAGAACCCAGCAAAGCGUCAGCGCGUUUCUGAAGUUUAGAAAAACCCUUUCAGAAAUGCCUCGAAUAUGGAAAAAUCGCGGCAAAAUCAGAGCAUCACCAAGGUUGGAAGAGACAUCCGAAAAAUCCUUUCAAAGAUGCCUCAAAUAUGGAAAAAUCGUGGCAUCAAGGUUGGAAGAGAUAUCUGAAAACCCUUUCAGAAAUGCCUCGAAUAUGGAAAAAUCGUGGCAUCAAGGUUGGAAGAGAUAUCUGAAAACCCUUUCAGAAAUGCCUCGAAUAUGGAAAAAUCGUGGCAUCAAGGUUGGAAGAGAUAUCUGAAAACCCUUUCAGAAAUGCCUCGAAUAUGGAAAAAUCGUG